rnacentral:rRNA from 1 species
GACGAACGCUGGCGGCGUGCUUAACACAUGCAAGUCGAACAGAAAGGCCCUGCUUUUGUGGGGUGCUCGAGUGGCGAACGGGUGAGUAACACGUGAGUAACCUGCCCUUGACUUUGGGAUAACUUCAGGAAACUGGGGCUAAUACCGGAUAGGAGCUCCUGCUGCAUGGUGGGGGUUGGAAAGUUUCGGCGGUUGGGGAUGGACUCGCGGCUUAUCAGCUUGUUGGUGGGGUAGUGGCUUACCAACGCUUUGACGGGUAGCCGGCCUGAGAGGGUGGCCGGCGACAUUGGGACUGAGAGACGGCCCAGACUCCUACGGGAGGCAGCAGUGGGGAGUAUUGCACAGUGGGCGGAAGCCUGAUGCAGCAACGCCGCGUGCGGGAUGACGGCCUUCGGGUUGUAAACCGCUUUCGCCUGUGACGAAGCGUGAGUGACGGUAAUGGGUAAAGAAGCACCGGCUAACUACGUG